rnacentral:rRNA from 1 species
GAAAGGCUUCGGCCGGACAGGGAUGGGCAUGCGGCGCAUUAGGCAGUAGGCGGGGUAACGGCCCACCUAACCGACGAUGCGUAGGGGUUCUGAGAGGAGGGUCCCCCACACUGGUACUGAGACACGGACCAGACUCCUACGGGAGGCAGCAGUGAGGAAUAUUGGUCAAUGGUCGGGAGACUGAACCAGCCAAGCCGCGUGAGGGAGGAAGGUACAGAGUAUCGUAAACCUCUUUUGUCAGGGAACAAAGACUGGGACGCGUCCCCGGAUGAGUGUACCUGAAGAAAAAGCAUCGGCUAACUCCGUGCCAGCAGCCGCGGUAAUACGGAGGAUGCGAGCGUUAUCCGGAUUUAUUGGGUUUAAAGGGUGCGCAGGCGGUCUGUUAAGUCAGCGGUCAAAGCCCGGGGCUCAACCCCGGCCCGCCGUUGAAACUGGCAGUCUCGAGUUGGAGAGAAGUAUGCGGAAUGCGCGGUGUAGCGGUGAAAUGCAUAGAUAUCGCGCAGAACUCCGAUUGCGAAGGCAGCAUGCCGGCUCCACACUGACGCUGAGGCACGAAAGCGUGGGUAUCGAACAGGAUUAGAUACCCUGGUAGUCCACGCAGUAAACGAUGAAUGCUGGCUGUCCGGGGGGACUGACCCCUGG